GGUUCUACAGUGAAAGACGGUCUUGCUGUCACUUAUAGAUGGACCCGCGCCGUAUUAGCUAGUUGGUGGGGUAACGGCCUACCAAGGCGACGAUACGUAGCCGACCUGAGAGGGUGAUCGGCCACACUGGAACUGAGACACGGUCCAGACUCCUACGGGAGGCAGCAGUAGGGAAUCUUCCGCAAUGGGCGAAAGCCUGACGGAGCAACGCCGCGUGAGUGAUGAAGGUCUUCGGAUCGUAAAGCUCUGUUGUUAGGGAAGAACAAAUGUGUAAGUAACUGUGCACAUCUUGACGGUACCUAACCAGAAAGCCACGGCUAACUACGUGCCAGCAGCCGCGGUAAUACGUAGGUGGCAAGCGUUAUCCGGAAUUAUUGGGCGUAAAGCGCGCGUAGGCGGUUUUUUAAGUCUGAUGUGAAAGCCCACGGCUCAACCGUGGAGGGUCAUUGGAAACUGGAAAACUUGAGUGCAGAAGAGGAAAGUGGAAUUCCAUGUGUAGCGGUGAAAUGCGCAGAGAUAUGGAGGAACACCAGUGGCGAAGGCGGCUUUCUGGUCUGCAACUGACGCUGAUGUGCGAAAGCGUGGGGAUCAAACAGGAUUAGAUACCCUGGUAGUCCACGCCGUAAACGAUGAGUGCUAAGUGUUAGGGGGUUUCCGCCCCUUAGUGCUGCAGCUAACGCAUUAAGCACUCCGCCUGGGGAGUACGGUCGCAAGACUGAAACUCAAAGGAAUUGACGGGGACCCGCACAAGCGGUGGAGCAUGUGGUUUAAUUCGAAGCAACGCGAAGAACCUUACCAAAUCUUGACAUCCUUUGACCGCUCUAGAGAUAGAGUUUUCCUCUUCGGAGGACAAAGUGACAGGUGGUGCAUGGUUGUCGUCAGCUCGUGUCGUGAGAUGUUGGGUUAAGUCCCGCAACGAGCGCAACCCUUGAACUUAGUUGCCAUCAUUCAGUUGGGCACUCUAAGUUGACUGCCGGUGACAAACCGGAGGAAGGUGGGGAUGACGUCAAAUCAUCAUGCCCCUUAUGAUUUGGGCUACACACGUGCUACAAUGGACAAUACAAAGGGCAGCGAAACCGCGAGGUCAAGCAAAUCCCAUAAAGUUGUUCUCAGUUCGGAUUGUAGUCUGCAACUCGACUACAUGAAGCUGGAAUCGCUAGUAAUCGUAGAUCAGCAUGCUACGGUGAAUACGUUCCCGGGUCUUGUACACACCGCCCGUCACACCACGAGAGUUUGUAACACCCGAAGCCGGUGGAGUAACCAUUUUGGAGCUAGCCGUCGAAGGUGGGACAAAUGAUUGGGGUGAAGUCGUAACAAGGUAGCCGUAUCGGAAGGUGCGGCUGGAUCACCUCCUUU
rnacentral:rRNA from 1 species